UUUCCUUUCACAAAAGCAGAGAAACUUUUUUGGUUUAGUAAUUUUGCUGGCAAUGUACCAUCCAUAAGUAAUUGCCAUUGUUAACAAAUGUUGGAACAAAACAACACCAAUUAAGGUUUUAAGUGGUUAUCAAACAAGGCAAGAGAUUCUGCAUAAACUGCAAGGUGAAGAACUUAGCUUGGGGAAAGCAUCCCUGGUGCUGAGAAAAUAUUUUAAACAGAAGGGAAAUUUUCCAAUAAAAUUUCUUCCUUCGACUUUAGUACCUACUUGACGCUCUGGUACAAGGUGAUGGCUUGGGAUUCAGGUUUGGAAUUCUGGAAGCCUCGGACUUGGAGGACAUAGAAUGGAAGAUGAAUUGUCUCUAAGCUCUCAGAAUUAAUGUCAUCACUCCCCACCUUACGCUCAUCAAGGGCUUUUCAUCUCCCUUUGGCGACAGGAGCAUGAUGUAUGAUAAGAAUUUCUCCUUUGAAGGGCUAGAGAUCUGCGUUCAAUUCCAGUUUCUGCAUUUAUUAGCUGUAUGGUCUUGGAUUCCAGCCACUUCAGCUGCCCCAAAUUCCAAUUUCUGCUUCUUCACCUUGGCAUGUCUGCCAUGGCCCCCUUCAUUUCAGCUCUUCGUACCACGGUCAGGAGAUUAUCCCCACGUAGAAGGCUGGGCAAUUGUGGGUCUCAUAUUUUUAGUUUUUCCACUCUCAGGGAUCACAUUCUUAUGCUGUCUGUUGUU